AACAUCGCGCACCUGCGGGAACCUGCGGAAGGAUCAUUAAUGAUUGGUGGCUGUUGCUGACUAGUGUUUCUAGUAUGUGCACGCCACACCUUCAAUCCCACUUACACCUGUGCACCUUCUGUAAUAGAUCUAUGUGGAUACGGAGAUAUGAAAGUUUGCGCUCUCGUACUCUGCUGAAGCAGUCUACUACGUUUUUUUACACACACACAAUAGUCAUUGAAUGUAUUUUUUAUUCUUAUG
rnacentral:misc_RNA from 1 species